rnacentral:lncRNA from 1 species
ACGACCUGCAGAUCCCAACACUCCAGGAUGGUGCAGGACAUCAGUCUCAAGGUAAUUGGUCACAGAGGUGAGAACCUUACUGAAAAAUCAGAAUGUGAACCCUGGAAGGUUCCUGAAAGAUGAGCUAGACGGUUUUGAAACUGUAUUGGGAAUCCCAAGUGUAGCUCAAGGCUACUGGUCUUCGAGGUACCAGGCUGGGUAUGUCGGGGAGGUAGGUGCCUGGUGUCUGCCUGCUGGCGACGAUGACUGCGAGCCCUUUCUCAAGACUUCGGCCCACCUGGGUCUUGGGCAAUGUAGUGCCCAGCAUCGGCCGCGAGAGGGAGCUCUAACCUGAGACUUGGCGGCCGCAGGGCUGGCUCAGUGGACCGCAGGGGAGAAAACAGGGCAAGGGGUUGAGCGCCAUCAGGAGCCAUUCCACAGUGACCAUGGAGGAGCAGAGACUGCAUGGUGGGGGUUGUGAGUGGGGAGAAAGCGUCCACUCACCUGAAAGCCCAACGACCUGGUCUCCUCGGCAUCAGACUUACACAGCAGUUCCAUCCACCUUGACCUUAGGGCUCAGGGCAUCUGCAGCCCUACUGCCGGCCCUCGGCCUCACUGCCCUCAUCUGGCAGCUUCUAUGUGCUCUCGGGGCUGGAGAGGUCAGGAAGAAAUAGACAGAGUGGGCCAGGCUUGGUCGGAGUCCAUACAGAGCAGGCCCCCUCUGCACGGGGAGUCACAGAUUUCUGGAAACCUCAGCUGAGCCUGGUGCAGUGGCACAGAGCAGCCCUGCCCCAGUUCCCAGUGGUGACUCCUCUGGGGUUCAGCACAUGGGACAGAAGACCUGCCCUGGGGAGGUGCAAAAGAGCGGCAAUGCUAACGCCACCUGGGCUCCCUGGCCCUGCAGGUGAGUGAGGAUGAAGGGGAGCAGGCUGGUCUGGCCAGGGAGAAACUGGGGCUUUUUUUUUUUUUUUUUUUUUUUUGAGAGACAGUGUGCCCUUGCAGAGAGAAUACAAAUGAUGGUGUCACAUGUUGAGCACCUGCUAUCUGCUCAGCAGUGAGCCAGACACUUCCAUGGGUGUUGCUAAUUCCCAUCACCAGCUACCAGAUGAGGUCCGGUCAGCCCCAUUUCACAAAUCAGUGACUGAGGCUCAGAGAUGAAAUAAAUGGCCCUAGGUCACACAACUUGCAGGUGGCAGAACCAAGGUGAGUGUCCCUCCAAAGGCUAGAGACCCUCCUCCCAGCAUGUUAGGCUGUAGCUGGACCCUCCAGGCCCACAGACCAUGUGGGUAGCUGGCACCAUCAUCUGAAAGGACCCUAUGCUGGGAGUCUCUCCAAGCCAGCCAAGGCCACCAUCCCUUGCUUCUCUUUCCCACAGACCUCUGAGUCGGGGUAGGGAGUUUGCGAAAGCGAAGGGCCAAUAUCAGGAGAUCGGGGCGCCAUUUCAGGGGGUGAGACCCUGGGCAAGUUGCCUCUCUGGGUCUCAACUUUCUGAUCUGUAAAGUGAGAACGCUACUCGUUGUCUGGCCUGGGUCUCAGGUUGUUGUAUGGACCCAGUGAGAGGAAGUAUCGGAAAUCCUCUGAAGUCUGCGGACAGCUGGAUAAAGGCUUACGGAGGCUUUCAUUUGUGCCAUGUGCUGUAAGUGGGUCACAGGCAUCACCUUAUUCUUAUUUAGACCUUAGGAGGUUGAAGAAAUUAUUCACAUUUUGCAGAUGAAGGGUUGAGGGAUAGGGAAGUUAAGUAGCUCGAGGUCACACAGGAGCAAAGCCAGGACUGGACUCAGGUCUUCUGAGGCCUAAGCACUACUCUUCCUCUUCCCUAGACGGUGCUCAUAGCACUGGACGGGGAAGGGCUGGGUAGGACAGCAGGACUGCUGGGCCCCUUCUAGAAGGACAGCCUACACUUGCGGGGGCUCUCACCUCUGAGGAUUCCUUCCUGGCUCCCCUCCCUUGGACCCUUGACUACAGCAGCCUGAGAGAGUGACCUUGACUUCCUGGGUGGCAGCAGGGGGACUGGGUGGAAGGGAGAAAUGGGAGCCAAGGGCAUUGCUUAUCCUCAGGGAGAGAGCUGGAUGUACACAGGGGAAUGUGUGUGCACAAGCACACGCACACGCAC